rnacentral:rRNA from 1 species
UGAGAGCUAGAGUAUUCAGCAAGAUAUGUGUUGAUCUAUCAGUAGACAUACACUCGUGUCUCAGAGAAUACAUGCAUGUGUAUGUAUAUAUAAUUAUGCUUGUAAUAGAAUGGCUGCUCUAUAUAUCAGAUAUAGUUUGGAGAGAUGUGUCUGGAUGAUGUCCGUAGUAAAGCGAGAGCUCAUGCAUGAUCUCUUCUCUUUAUGAGGAGGGUUUUUAGUAUGAAAAACACAAUCGACGCAGUAUGGUUGAGAAUAAUAACCACUUGUCAUCCCUCAUUCUAAUGACGAUAGUUCUUUCAAGUGUCUGCCCCAUCAGCUCUCGAUGGUAGUGUAUUGGACUACCACGGCACUAACGGGUAACGAAGAAUUUGGGUUCGAUUUCGGAGAGGGAGCCCGAGAGAUGGCUACCACACCCACGGAAGGCAGCAGGGGCGUAAAUUACCCACUCCCGACAUACGGAGGUAGUGACAAUAAAUCACACAGCGGGACUUUUUAGUUUUGCAAUUGGAUUGAGAACAAUGCACAAGAGUUAUCGAUAAACAAUUGGAGGGCAAGUCUGGUGCCAGCAGCCGCGGUAAUCCAGCUCCAAAAAGGCGGAAU